CGGCAAAAUGGUAGGAACUGUCAUUUCUGAAUUUAUUACAACUGUAAGGAAUUGUUUGGUUUUUGUAAAAAAUCCAUGUAUCGAUAUUAUUAACACUUACAUGAAAAAUAGAAAAUCCUGUAAACCUCUAAUAAUCAUGACCAAAAAAAGAAAGGCACAUUGCUUUUACUGGAAAAAGAAAAAAGGAAAGAAGUAUAUUUUGGCUACAUGUCACUCAAUUGACACAAACGACAUGGAAAAUAUCGUUUUAAGUAUAUCGGGGGAUACUGGAUUGAAUCAGGGCUGUAAAACCAACCCAUCCAAUUUUAUCUAUUCAAAAGACAUUGAUUAUGUUCUGUUGGAAGCUGUAGAUGACCACGUUUUCUUGAGUCAUGAAAGAGGUCUAUGCGAGGCAGGAAUCGGUGAGCCAGAGAUAGGCAGAGAAAUAUAUUACGAAACAUACAGCAAGGAAAGAAAAUGCUUCGAGAAAUAUUCAGGUAAAAUCAUUAAACCCCCUAAAGAAACUGAAAAUGUAUUGACCGAAAAUGAAUUUGUCAUAGACAUAGUCGGUAUUCCUGGUGAAAGUGGUACACCUAUUUUAAGUUGCGCCGACAAUCGUGUUAUUGGCAUGUAUCGCGGAGACUGUGUAACACGUCGUGAUUUAGGGCGCUGUAUAAAAAUGUCUUCCAUCAAUCAGGACAUAUAUCGUCGCAUGAAUGACUAUAUAGUAAUUCACAUGCCGGAGAACGUGUAACAUGCCAAUUAUAAUUCAUUUUUCUCUUCACUCAUAUUUACUUUUGAUGUUGUAUAUCGCUUUCGCAGCCUUAAUAAUACUUUCGCAGUAAAGAUAAAGUAAGUAAGUAAAUAAAUAAAUAAAUAAAGUACUUUACAAAACGUAUCAUAUCUUAACUCAAUCAUGGGACUUUUGAGAAGGCCAGUGGUUAAGGCGCUUUCUCUAAAAGCAAGUUUAGCGCCACGGUUCAAUCCCAGCCUUGUCAUCAGCCGGCAAUAACUGCGAGCCCUACUUCGUUUGGGGAAUUGCUCUCACUUAAGCGCUCCCGUGCGAUGUCGUGAUCAUCGCUGUGAUACGCUUAGUGUGCACCUGAACAUUCAAAAACAACGCGUGGUUGUAUAAAGGAGGAAAAGGGCUCCGCCAGUUUUGCCGCUGCUCCACGAUUUCCUCCGGGAAGAAAUCUUGUCCACAUCUGGGCCUGGAUGGGAUUGCAAAUCUCAGCAGAGAGUGGCUAUUGGGUUCAUGUCCAAAGAGAAACAUGUUCAUGUGGGGACUUACCUGUGGCAGCAAGAACACCAUUCUGAGCAGCAGCCAAAGAAGAACCGCUGCAGAAACAAGGCUCUAACUGAACUCCACACAGAGUGAAACCAGAACAUGGAAACCAGGCUGAGACCAGAGUGACAGGGUCAGGAACAUCACGACCAGGCUGAGACCAGAGCCACCGGGUUAAGAACAUCACGACCAGGCUGAGACCGGAGUGACCGGGUUAAGAACAUCACGACCAGGCUGAGACCGGAGUGACCGGGUCAGGAACAUCACGACCAGGCUGAGACCGGAGCCACCGGGUUAAGAACAUCACGACCAGGCUGACACCGGAGUGACCGGG